GACGAACGCUGGCGGCGUGCUUAACACAUGCAAGUCGAACGGAAAGGCCCUGCUUGCAGGGCGCUCGAGUGGCGAACGGGUGAGUAACACGUGGGUGAUCUGCCCCUUACUUUGGGAUAAGCCUGGGAAACUGGGUCUAAUACUGGAUAGGACCAUGCUGUAGGUGGUGUGGUGGAAAGAUUAGUUUCGGUAAGGGAUGAGCUCGCGGCCUAUCAGCUUGUUGGUGGGGUAAUGGCCUACCAAGGCGUCGACGGGUAGCCGGCCUGAGAGGGUGGACGGCCACAUUGGGACUGAGAUACGGCCCAGACUCCUACGGGAGGCAGCAGUGGGGAAUAUUGCACAAUGGGCGCAAGCCUGAUGCAGCGACGCCGCGUGGGGGAUGACGGCCUUCGGGUUGUAAACUCCUUUCAGCCAUGACGAAGCCCUUGUGGUGACGGUAGUGGUAGAAGAAGCACCGGCUAACUACGUG
rnacentral:rRNA from 1 species